UAUUAAAGUUUUUGCGGUUAAAAAGCUCGUAGUCGAAUUUGUGUCCCGCGCCGCCGGUUCAUCGUACGCGGUGUUAACUGGCGUGUCGCGGGACGUCCUGCCGGUGGGCCUAAGUCCGCAAGGGCGUCGGCCCGACCCAAUCCCGCCGCGGUGCUCUUCAUUGAGUGUCGAGGUGGGCCGGCACGUUUACUUUGAACAAAUUAGAGUGCUUAAAGCAGGCUAAAACUUCGCCUGAAUACUGUGUGCAUGGAAUAAUGGAAUAGGACCUCGGUUCUAUUUUGUUGGUUUUCGGAACUCCGAGGUAAUGAUUAAUAGGAACGGAUGGGGGCAUUCGUAUUGCGACGUUAGAGGUGAAAUU
rnacentral:rRNA from 1 species